rnacentral:lncRNA from 1 species
UAACAUGGUAGGAGCACAGGUUUUUGGGAAUAUGUGGAAACAGACUCUGUUUAGCAACCAUAACCAUUUUGACUUCAACUGUGAAGAUAAUGACAGACCGUAAAGGCCACACAUUACCCAUGUGAACUAUCGUAUGCUGCGUGUCAUAAGUAUGACGUUGACCUCCUGAACUCUCGGUUCUGUGUUGUUUGCGUUGCAGAGAAUAAGGCAGUUGGAAGACAUGAUUGAGAUGCAAAAGAGACAAGUAAAGGAAAUAGAAGAAAAGUUUUUGUUCCUCUUCUUGUUUUUCUCUCUAGCUUUUAUUCUUUGGCCUUAAUGACACUGACAUGGACCGACAACAGGUGCUAAGGUGCUCAGGUGGAGAGUGAGGAAGAGAAACACAACAUUUUUUUUUUUUUUUUCAUGCAUUUAUAGAUGGUUCACAAACCUUAUAUGGCCUUUUUGAUACACGUGCACUUUUGUGGAAAACAUUUACCUGGAAUGCAAAACAAAACCAGGACUUUGAAAAGUGAACAAAUAUCAGAGACAUGUAAAAGAGGUAUAUCAGAGAUUUUUUUUAUUUUUUAUAACGGAAAUGUCCCCUACCAUUUUUGGAAGUGGAACAUUUAGCCAAACUCUAAUGUGAGUUCUAAAAAGCAAGAACAUUGUAACUGGAACUCUGAAGCAGGUCAAUAAAGGAACAGAGCAACUGAGAUGGAGACAGUGCCUCAGAUGGAUUUAGAGCCAGACAACGAAAGAGUGCAAUCGUAGAGGAGGAGGAAGGAGGAGGAAGGAGAAAGAGUUGAUUCAAAAAAGCAGGACGAUUUCCAAACAGACGAGCCAAGUCCUGGGCAUUCCCAGAAAGCUCAGUGCAGGAGGGUCUCCAUGGAAACAGCUGGCGAAACGGCUGUCAUGGCCAAAGUUCAAUGAGCAAGAAGUGAAAGCUUUGUACUCCGGAGUAGAGCGACACCAGAGGACUACGGGGACAGAAUGUGUCACCGGUCUGUGAAACACAAAGAAUCCUCAAUAGCUGUGACCUCCAGGUUUUGACCCAUAGAGUGAACCGUCUAGAGCACAGCCUGAGAGACAACGUCAGCUCCUUUACUGAGUCUGAGAGCUUGCUGCACAACAGAGAGUUGGAGGUGCCAGAGCAGAGCCUGCUACAGAAGGUGGAGGACCUCACAGCACACUCAGUCCUCCACUGUCCCAGCAUGCAGCGACGCCAGAGGCUGGACGAGCGGCUCCACGCGCUCAGGGAGGAGGUGCGCUUCAUGGUGAGUAGAGACUGUACUGAGCUUUACAUUAGCUUCAAUGAGGCUUAUAGAGUGAGAAGUACUCAAAUGUACAUGUCAUGUAAGCUGUACUGUAAAUUGUAGUAUAAGCCUGUAAUUAUUGUGUAAGUGUAAUUAUUGUGUAAGUGUAUUGUGAGUGUGGUUUAAAUCUAUCGUUUCUCAGGUGUAGUGCUAUUGUGACUGUAGUCUCCCUCUCUGUUGCAUUAUAUGAGAUGUGUAUGACAUUACUCAGAUGUGAGGAGUAACUGUGUCAUAGUUCUAUCAUGACCGGUCCUUCCCAGUACCAGGAGAAGGAGCAUAGGAAUCGUGUGUGUGGAGGGAGAGGCUACAGUGCUGCCAGGCCCAGC